rnacentral:rRNA from 1 species
AUCUUGCGCAAUGGGCGAAAGCCUGACGCACCCAUGCCGCGUGAAUGAGGACGGUCUUAGGAUGGUAAAAUUCUUUCACCGGGGACGAUAAUGUCGGUACCCGGAGCAGAAGGCCCGGUGCACUUCGUGCCAGCAGCCGCGGUGAGACGAAGAGGGCUCGCGUGGUUCGGAAUUAUUAGGCGCAAAGGGCGCGUAGGCGGAUCGUUAAGUCAGAGGUAGAAUCCCAGGGCUCAACCCUGGAACUGCCUUUGAUACUGGCGAUCUUGAGUAUGAGAGAGGUAUGUGGAACUCCGAGUGUAGAGGUGAAAUUCGUAGAUAUUCAGAAGAACACCAGUGGCGAAGGCGACAUACUGGCUCAUUACUGACGCUGAGGCGCGAAAGCGUGGGGAGCAAACAG